GCCCGGGUGGCGGAAUUGGCAGACGCAGGGGGCUUAAACCCCCCAGAGGGGAAACCCUCGUACGGGUUCAAGUCCCGUCCCGGGCA
rnacentral:tRNA from 2 species